UAUUCUUGGCCGCAGUGAAGGAAGCAUAUUUCCAGUUUGCAAGCAAAUCGGCACUCCUAUAAAUUCAAGGCAGAGGGUUCGUUUCACAUUCACCGAUAUUACCGAUUGAUUAUUUUAGAGGUCUUUGAGCAAUCACAAAGAGAGGAAAUUUUUCAAACCAGCUCUCAGAACCAAACACUUUUGAAUUCGAGUCAUUUCCGUUGUCGUUGAUUUUCUCGGCGGUUGUUCGUUUCAAGCGUUUACUUGCCUCGCUGGCGGCAACAGUGCUCUCCAUUUCAUGCAGCAAUAGUGGCCUACUCGCAAUAGGGCUUCCCACAGAAAGCCCACGGUAAAACACUCGGAACGAUGCCAAUACAUCCACUACUUCUAAUGCAUGAAGACUAUGCAGAUCUAGCUUCCAGAUAUUGUUAUUUUCAUUUUUAAUUCGAAGAAUUUUUGUGGCUGCUUUGGAAUUGAAUUCCAAAUUGCAACUAUAAGUUCCUUUCUGCAUUAUCCAUAUUGGGGGCCUUAAAAAUAGUCGUAUCAUUAUCCGUAUUUGUAUUUGUAUUCGUGUCCAUGUAACUUUGGUCAUUUUAACUCAAAAUCCCUCUCUUGAAUGAUGCUUCUGGAUUUUUGAACUGAUAUAAUGCAAUUUUUAGGCCUCUAUGACCUGGUGCAGCAGCAAAAUGAAUAGUCUACAACUGCUACAGACCUUUCAACAGCCAAAUAAAAUUGUGUAGGGUCUUCUCCAAAGUUAGCACCCCAAAUAUAUGGAGCAACAACUAGGGUUUGUCAAAAUGGUGUAAACUCCUCAGAUCCAACAAAUAAUUAUGCAAAUCUGCUCAUAAAAUUUUUUGAAAUUGUUGUAGAAACCUCCCAAAAUGAUGUGUCAACAAAAUAGCAAAUAUUUAUUUGCAAACUAAAUCAUCCUAUCACUGGAAUCUUGCGUGAAUCUCAAGAAUCAACAACAAACAUUGUAGGGCCUCUGCAGUAAAUUGAAUAUAUUUUCAAAUCCUCCACAAACCAGCACAAUUAUGAUUCUCGGAUAGAAUCACCCAAGAUUGGAAGCAAGGGUUUUUGUUCAUGAUCUCACGCUUAACAAGUUUCUAUGUUGCACACAGGCCUCACAAACAAAGGAAUAACUUUGAGUACAGUAGCUCUCCUUAUAAAAAGAAAGUAUGAAAAGUUCAAGAUGCUCAAGCAACAUAUUAUGCUCUUCUGAAGGACGACGGUAUUGAUAAAGAUUUUGCAAGCACAAUGGAAGCUUAGUGCCAAAAUAUUGUACAACAUGCAGUAAAGACAGGAUACACAGAUCACUUGCGAGUGGCUUGCAAAUGUUUCCAUUAUAUAUACACUAUUUCCAAUUUAUUGGAAAUCAUUUUUUUCACAAUGUAUUAAAAUCUGCACAUAAAUGAAGUAUUUAUAUUCAGUUUAA